rnacentral:rRNA from 1 species
CAUAGGUAUCUGCCUAGUAGUGGGGGGACAACCUGGUGAAAACCAGGCUAAUACCGCAUAAGAUCUACGGAUGAAAGGAGGCCUCUUCUUGAAAGCUUUCGCUAUUAGAUGAGCCUAUGUCAGAUUAGCUAGUUGGUAGGGUAAUGGCCUACCAAGGCGACGAUCUGUAGCUGGUCUGAGAGGAUGAUCAGCCACACUGGGACUGAGACACGGCCCAG